rnacentral:rRNA from 1 species
UACAGAGGAUGCAAGCGUUAUCCGGAAUGAUUGGGCGUAAAGCGUCUGUAGGUGGCUUUUUAAGUCCGCCGUCAAAUCCCAGGGCUCAACUCUGGACAGGCGGUGGAAACUACCAAGCUGGAGUACGGUAGGGGCAGAGGGAAUUUCCGGUGGAGCGGUGAAAUGCGUAGAGAUCUGGAGGAACACCGAUGGCGAAGGCAGCCUUCUGGGCCAACACUGACGCUCAUGCACGAAAGCGUGGGGAGCAAACAGG